UACGUAGGGGGCGAGCGUUGUCCGGAGUACUGGGCGUAAAGCGCACGCAGGCGGUCUGCUAAGUUUGGAGUGACAGUUGGUGGCUUAACUGCCAAAGUGCUUCGAAAACUGACAGACUUGAGGGCUUCAGAGGGACACGGAAUUCCGGGUGGAGUGGUGAAAUGCGUUAGAUAUCAGGAGGAACACCGGUGGCGAAGGCGGGUCUCUGGGCCGAUACUGACGCUGAGGAGCGAAAGCGUGGGGAGCGAACAGG
rnacentral:rRNA from 1 species